ACGAAGUUUGCCCGGGAAGAGAGUGAUGACGCAGAAGAGAGGGGAGGACGGAGUGCAGAAAGGACCCGCUUGGCGGCGGCACCGUGGGGUUCUUUGAUCGUCUGAUUCUUCCUUGGUCGUUUCUCACUGUUCCGCCUCUUCCUGGCAGCGCUCGAAGGUGCCUAAGUUCCUUCUCCAGUCGAUGUCCUUGAGGUUCUCACCAGCAUGCGUUCCACCCUCUGCUUCCCGGUUCACUCCAUUUCCCCGGGCUUCCCGGGAACACAUAUUGCCCAUGUUUCACCAAGUCUAAUGCCCAGUUUUAGAUCAUUUUGACUGGUCGCCCAGCCAGAAUCACUGACGUGUGCUCUCUCCUCCUUUUGGAAAUGCUGCAUUUUGGGCCUCAGUGGAAACCAUCCUGUCUUCUGGGACUUUAAGGACCAAUUUUGGCGUGUAUUGAUUACUCCACUUCCUUUAAAUUCUUAAGUUGCAGAUAAUCGUUCCCAGUUGGAUCCUAGGACCUUCUUUACGUCCUCUAUGCUCCCUUGUCCGCUUGCCCCUCCCCCUUUUCCUUCCGUCUUUGCGUUUGUGCAUCCUAGAGAGUGCAUGAGAGGAAAUAGUCUAUCACCCUCCACUUUAAUUUUUUGAGGCAAGGUCUCAUUGAACCUGGAGCUCACAGUUGGCUAGACUGGCUGGCCAGUGAGACCCAGGCUCCUGCUGUGUUGGCUCAGAUUAAUGGCGCAGGUUACAAUUGGCUUUAUAUGUCCAGCUUUUCACAAAGGUGGUGGCGAUCAGAAUUCAGGUCCUUCUGAUGCCUAUGCAGAUCCAUCUCAGGUCUCUGUUUCCAUCCACCGUCAUCCUGGCUGCUCACAACACACAGCCCCUGUCCAUUACCAUCUGUGUUGUGAAUUCAGUCACUGAUUCUUCAUAGAGCCCUCAAAUGUAUGCAAUUCAGAUCUCUUCCCUGAGUUCCUGACUCCCAUAAACACCUCUCUAGAUCUCUCAUUUAAGAAAGAGAAGUAUGUGUUUGGUGGUUUUGUCUGCAUGUAGGUCUCUGUACCACGUGGGUGCCUGGUGCCCUUUGAGGCCAGAAGAAGUUAUGGGAUUCCCCAGAACUGGAGUUCAGACGGUUGUGAGCUGCCAUAUGGAUGCUGGCACUCCAGCCCAGGUCCUCUGGAAGAGUGUCAAGUGUUCCCAAACAAUGAACCAUCUCUCCAGCGCCUCUAGAUCUCUGGUUGCCUGAAAUGCAGUUGAUUUUACACACUAAACAUCUCUCAGAUCUAGUUCUGUCUCUGCUAACUAUAACCCUGAUUCCAGUUAUUCUCUCUAAAUUCCUGAAUGCUUUCUUAAUAGGCUUCCUGAUUUUGAGUUUUUUUUCUCCACCUACACAUGGGAAGCUGAAUCAUCAUUGGAUAACACGUGACAGGACAACUGUGUUGUGUGUCAUAUGUUCUAAGCAAGCCUAGAGGACAGAGUUACUCAGUGAGUCAGAUGAAACAUAAACACCUCCACCACUUUAACGGCAUUGCCAACUUACUUAGAAAACCAAAGGGAGUCUCUGGAGAAAAAAAGUAUCUCCAGGCCUGAGCCUCUGCUGAAGAUCCAUUGCCUGACCAAACUCCAGUCAGGCUUUUGAGUCUUCUUUUAGGUUCGUCUGUGUAUUUCCUUACAAAAUCCCAUCUUAUCAAAUCUUCCUGCUAAAACCAUUUAUCAAUAAUCCCCAUUUUGAUAACCUGGUUGUCCAUAUUCAGUUCAGUUUUCCAGCCUUCAGGUGACGUCUGAUCAUUUUGAUUGGUGCGUGUAUAUAAGCUGCCUUUCUCAUUGCUGUGACCAAGUACCCUGCACAAGCAACUGAAGACAGGAAGUGAUUCUUUUGGCUCACAACUGGAGGGUACGAUCCAUCAAGACAAAGUCUCAUUUUUCUGCUCAGACUGACUUCAGAUUCACAGCAAUCCUCCUGCUCUAGCCUCCCAUGUUCUGGAAUCCAGACAUGAACCACCAUGUGCAGCUUGUGUCAGAUCUUGGAGUUACGGACAGUUCCAAGUUGCCAUGUAGGUGCUAGGAAUUGAACCUGGGUCCUCUGGAAGAGCAGUCAGUGCUCUUAACCGCUGAGCCAUCUCUCCAGCCCUGGAACUUGUUUUAGAAGGUAAACCAUUGCUGGAUGAACAAAUGUACACAAUGACUUCCUAUUUGUCAUCCUCUUUAGGGAAUCAGUGGGUGAGUAGGCGAGGUGGUGAGAAGGGAAAUACCCUUUAAUUUUUUAAAAGUUUGUGGAUGAAACAGUGAAACGCACAUGUAAGGAAGUGGAGAUACUUUCUGUUAUGGAUCACCUGACCUGACUGAGGAUAUCGAGUGAAAACCGAGAUAGGAGAAGCUGUGGAUGAGGUACAGACAGUGUUACGGAAGGAGACAAACUGCUAGUGUCUCAGGAUGACAGAAACUGAAAAUGUCAAUGUGGAGAACAUCGGAACCUUUAAAGGCAAUGGCCGCUCUUAAGAGGACAGAUCAUCUCCACAGCCUGAAGAAAUGGGGCCAUGCGCCCCUGCAGCUCUGUCCCUGGGAAGACUGUUAGGAAGCUGUUCAGCUGCGUCACUGGAUUCUCAUUUAUGGUUCUAACCAGUACCGGAUUCUUCCAUGGUGUUUGUCACAUAAGCUGUGUUGAACUGAAUCUUGUCAUGUGAAACUUCUGACCACCCCCUGCAAGGGGUGAAAGUCAGACAUCUCGUGUUUGAGGGUUUCUCUGACCCCCAUCUCUCCCAUGGUCUCUCUCUGUCUCUCUCUCUGUCUCUCUCUCUUAUUCUCAUUUUUGUUUUUUUGAGACAGGGUUUCUCUGUGUAGCCCUGGCUGGCCUGGAACUUACUAUGUAGACCUGGCUGGCUUUGGACUCAGAGAAGAGAUCCACCUGUCUGUCUCCCGAGUGCAGGGAUCAAAGCGUGUGCCACCACUGUCCGGCCUUAUUCUCACUCUUAAUGAAGUUCUUAGACUUUCAAGGGAAACCUCUCCUUCCCUUUAAGGAGAGGCCUGUCAUGAUUCUGACUCAGUUGUAUUGUUUCCUUUCUAAUACUCCUCCCUUGAGACCCGAUCACGGCCUGGAGGCCCCUUCUCCUAGUAAACAUCAUUUCUGAAGCGUAAUUAUGUGUCAGCUUCCUUUCCAGAGCCAACAGUUGCUGCUUCAGUUACUCGGUUUAACAGACAGACUGAGUUAUAAAGUAGGUCAGGUGCUAGCUGUAAUUCCUUUAGCAAUAGUGUUUAUGCCCAAUUAAAUUUAACAUCCUGAGCCUAAUGGGGCUGAGUUAAAAUAUGAAAAUUAGUUAAUGAAAAACUGAAAGAUGGGAUAUUAAAAGGCAACAGACACAGUGUAAAUUCAACAAAUGAAACAUUUCUAGUUGAUUAAGAAAAAUCUUCCUUUGUGGUUGACCUAUGUAGCCCCAAAGGCCAUGAAGAACAGGACAGCUAGGGAUAAAUACUGAGACCCUAUCUCAACAACUCCUAAAAUUGUCGGGGUGAAGACAAAAGAAAAGCCACCGAAGAGCAGGAGUUUAGUGUUAGCUGGACAUUAAGUAACCAAAAGUACUUGGAGGGACUGAGAAUCUGAGAAAACGAUCUCUGAGAUACAGUGUAACACUAAUAAAACCAAAGGAGAUGUCACUAAGUGAACACAUUUCCUGUGAUUGUUAGUGGCCAGGUGAGACAUCCUGUCAUUGUCAGGGCUGGGAGCCCUUUCAAAGACGGUAAUGAGCCUUUACUGAUGCUGUCCCUUUUGUUUUAGCUAAGAGGCUUUGGACAAAAGUAUAAGGAACUGGCCCAAGUCACUGAGUCACUCUGACUCAUUCUUUUUAGGUGAUGUGCGGUUAACUUGCUUAUUAUGGUAUUAAACCAUCUGCCCGAGGCUUCCAUGGCUGCCUUUUUGAUCCCGUGAUUAUGACCUUGAACCGAGUGUAUCCAGGGACUCGCCUGCCUGUAUGUGUUGAGUCUUCACUACUGAAUGUGUGUAUUUCCCCAGCACAAGCCCCCUGCUUUCUUCGGAGAAAACUCUGCUUAGGAAGUGAACUCCAGCACUUUCCAUCCUUGCUGUGAACCCCUGGCUGUGUUAUUGGCUUUUAUUCACCAGGAAACAACAUCAGCAGCAGUGUGGAAGCAUCCUCCCACCUUCCACCAACUGGGUGUCUCUUCCUGAUUCUACUUCCUCCAUCUCAUCAAAUAUAAUGGUCAUCUUAAAAUUUUAACACCUGAUUAGUUUGUCUGUUUCUGAAAGUUUAUGUAAGUAAACUGAUGCAAUUGUUCUUUUAAAUCUGCCAUUUUAGAAUUGAUCUGCCUCAAGACUCAGCUAUACCACUCUUGGUCAUAUACCCAAAAGACACUUCAUCCUACCACAAGGGCACUUGCUCAACUACAUUCGUAGUGACUUCAUUCAUAAUAGCCAGAAACUGGAAACAACCUAGAUGUCCCUCAACCAAAGAAUGGAUAAAGAAAAUAUACAUUUACACAUGGAGUAUUACUCAGCUGAUUAAAAAAAUGUGGUAGGAAAUUUGCAGGCAAAUGGAUAGAACUAGAAAAAAUCAUCCUGAGUUAUGUCAUCCAGACCCAGAAAAGACAAACAUGAUAAGUACUCACUUAUAAGUGGAUAUCAGCUGUUAAGUAAAAGAUAACCACACUGCAAUCAACAGACCUAGGCUAAGUAACAAGGAAGGCUCUGGGGGGAUACAUGGAUCUUCCUGGGAAGGAGAAAUAGAAUAGAUUCUGCAGGUGGACUGGGGGCAGGAAGGGAUGGGAACAAGAGGGACCAAGUAGGGGAGGGAGGGAUGGAGGGAGAGAGUACAGGGAGAGACGAUUGGAAUGGGGGGCAUUUAGGGGCUCAUAUGGAAACCUAGUGCAGUGGAAACUUCCUGGAAUCUGUGAGGGUGACCCUAGCAAGGACUCCUAGUAAUAAAGAAUAUGCAGCCUGAACUGGCCAUCUUUGGUAACCUGGCAGGGCUCCUGGUGGUGGAACUGGGACACCAACCCACCCACAAAACCUUCGUUUGACCCACAUCUGUCCUGCCAGCAAGAUGUGCUGGGACAAUGGUGGCUCAGAGCUUGUGGGAGUGGCCAACCAAUGACUGAUCUAACUUGAGGCCCAUUCUAUGAGUGGGAGCCCAUGCCCGACACUGCCUGGAUGGCCAGGAACCAGAAGCUGGAUGGCUCAAAUACCUAGGGUAGAACCAAAUACGAUUAACAGAAGAAAAGUCAGUGAAAUUUCUAAUGAUAUUCUGCUAUAUUCAUAGAUUGGUGCCCAGCCCAAUCAUCGUCAGACAGACUUCCUCUGGCAGCUGAUGGGAGCAGAUGCAGACACCCACAGCCAAACAUUAGAUGGAGCUCAGGGAACCCUGUGGGAGUUAGGGAGGAAGGAUUUUAGGGGUCACAGGGGUGGAGGACACCAGGAGAACACUACACAGAAUCAACUAAGCAGGGCCUGAUUUGCAUAGAGAAGAUGCAUAGGAAGGAAAGGGCAGGGACUGGAGUUUGCACUUCUUGGUUCUGGGACGAGGGAAGAGACACAUCUCUUGCGGUGUCUCCAGCCAAAAAAACAAGGUCAACUUGUUGCUUCUCGGCUUCUCUGAUAUAACAGGUUUUCACCCCAGCCUUUGACUUUUGAGUCUUAUUGAUAAAUAGAAUGAUAGAGACUUAAUUUAAACCUACAUAUUGUGGCCAUGGCAUAGUCGGGGCCUCGGGACUGGAAGCCCUGCCAGGCAGCAGCCUGAGCAUCCUGAGUCAGGUAAGGCACUGACUGAGGGGCCUUGGGGCUGCAGACGAUAAUUAAAAUAUCAGUAGAUUCAUGUGCAGCCACUAAGCUAACAGAAAACAUCAGGAGGGAGUGGAAACUGCAGUCAGGAUGUAUUGUAUGAGAGAAGAAUAGAAAAAAUAAGCAAUCUGCCCUUUUCUAUACUUGACAUUUUGAUCGUGAGAUUCACCUGUUUUUGUGACUAGUUAAUGUUUAUUGCUGGGUGGUACCCUGUUGUUUGACUUCGCGAUAGUUUUAUUCAUUCAUAUGGACUUCUGAGUUGUUCACAGGCCACACUAUUACUGUUACUCAUGCUUGAUGGUGUAGAUAUGUUCCUAGGUGUGGAAUUGAUGGAUGGAGGAUGUGCAUCUUCAGUUUCUCAGUUGAUAUUAUCAAAGUGACUGAGUUAAUUGAUGCUCUCACUGAGGAGAAGACAAGAGUUCUGGUUUCUCUCCUUGUCAGUCCUCCGAAUUUUAGCCAUUCUUGUGAGAGUAUAAUGCUGUUGCUUUGAGGCUUAAUUUGUGUUUUCCUGAUGCUAAUGCGGUUCGACAACUGGCAUGUUUAUCAGGAUUUGGUUGUGUUAUUUUGUUAACUUCUUAUUCAGGUUUCUUACUUGUGCUUUCAACAAGUUGUCUAAUCUUUUCUGGACUCACAGAGAUUCCCCCUUCUUCAGCCUCCCGAGUGCUGGCAUUAAAGGUGUGUGCCACCACACCUAGCCACCUGAUCUUUUCUUAUUGAUCAAUAUGCAUAAUUUACAAAUUGGGUCCGUGAGCUCUCUGUUCAUAAUUGUAGAGUAAGUUCCAAGGAAAAAGCCACACCUGGGUUAAAGAUUCCACAAAGGUGGAUGGCUGGCUGAUCAGACCUUCAGAAAGUGUUGGAAUAUUGCAAAUCCAGAGCAAAUUAUUUGGGGUUGUUAUAUGUCUUACUUAUUGCCCAUCAUCUGUGUCUGACCUGAUGCCCUUUGGCUACCAGAAAACCUUUGGGAUGUAUUUGUAGUAGAUCACGAGUUUCCAUCAACCCUAGGCUCAUAAUGGCAUCAGAAAGCACCUGAAACCUAUGGCAGAAUUUUCUCCACUUUUCUGUAACCUGCCCAUCUGCCAUCUCCACCAAUACAUUGUGACUAUAAAAGCUUAUGCAGUCCCUUCAGUGGUGGUCAUGGUGGAGCAUUUCAUUCAGGGCAGCCUGAAUUCUGGGGUCCGGGGCAAUGGCCACUCAUAUUUGGCUCCAAAUAAGAUCUUUGGGUGAGAGCUGUGUUCUGUGUCAGCAUACAUGUGACACAAACCCUUUCCCUGCUUUUGAGACAAGGUCCCACGGUGUAGCCUUGGCUGCCCUGGAACACUAAGAGAUCCACUUGCCUCUGCCUGCUGAGUGCUGGGAUUAAAGCUCUUGCCUUCUUACAUGGCUUACACAGUUCCCAUUCUGUGGCUUUCCUUUUCUACUUAGUGAUAUCUUUUGAUGAAUAAAAAUCUUUCUUGUAGUCCAAUUUAUUAAAUAAAUAACUUUUAUUCCAAGUCAA